rnacentral:lncRNA from 1 species
CUAAGAUAUAGUGAGAUUCAGCAGAGAUUCGACCUAGAGUAUAGAGACACAUGAAAUCUUUUUCCAUAUCAUAUCUGAACACCAAAUCUUUUUGACAGCCCAAAACCACUGGCAUAAGUAAAACUCAUGAGAAGCUUUGGAUCUAUGAAGAAGAGCCAUACACAAUUUCAGAAAGCUCUUAAUUCGAAUUAUCUACACAUGUAUAUAAGGAUGAGCCAUAAAGACAACUCCUUCAGAAGUGUAGAGUUCUCAUCAAGUUUGAAGUCAAAUUCACACUUGAGAUGUGAGUUCAAUAAGCAGACACUACUUACUACAAGUAGGCUCCGCUCACGAAUGCAUCACAAAUCACUAUUUUAUGCACAUUGAUGUAACAGAAACUUGUAUUCAUGUAUUCUUCCAUGGCAUUACACGCUACACAGCCUUGACUUGGUGCAGUUAAUUUGACUAAUA